rnacentral:rRNA from 1 species
UGGGGAAUAUUGCACAAUGGGCGAAAGCCUGAUGCAGCGACGCCGCGUGAGGGAUGACGGCCUUCGGGUUGUAAACCUCUUUCAGCAGGGAAGAAGCCACAAGUGACGGUACCUGCAGAAGAAGCGCCGGCUAACUACGUGCCAGCAGCCGCGGUAAUACGUAGGGCGCAAGCGUUGUCCGGAAUUAUUGGGCGUAAAGAGCUCGUAGGCGGUUUGUCGCGUCGGCUGUGAAAGCCCGGGGCUUAACCCCGGGUGUGCAGUGGGUACGGGCAGACUAGAGUGCAGUAGGGGAGACUGGAAUUCCUGGUGUAGCGGUGGAAUGCGCAGAUAUCAGGAGGAACACCGAUGGCGAAGGCAGGUCUCUGGGCUGUUACUGACGCUGAGGAGCGAAAGCAUGGGGAGCGAACA